rnacentral:lncRNA from 1 species
GAGGAAGGAACACAUCUCAGCCUUCGGGUUCUAGAGCCUGAAGACAAGGCUGCUAGUUCUACGAAGUUCAAUAUCAAAUUCAGCUCUCUGGGUGCCGAAUGCAGUAACCUGGUAACACCUUACUUCGCCGAGGCUGAUGAGAUGACCUCUACCAAUAAGGAUUUGAAAAUCCUUCUUGACCAAAACUUGGAUAGAUAACCAGUUGGCCUCGUCGAAGUAUUGUUUAUCCAAACUGAAGGUGCUUUGCAGUCGGCUAAUUCUACGGCAACAAUGUUGUUUACCAAACUGAAGGUGUCACCAGUUGCCCUCACAGUACUGUUUAUCCAAACUGAAGAUGUGUUGGCAAAAAAAAUAAAAUAAAAAUCUCAAGGUUGUUGAGAGGUUUCACGU